rnacentral:rRNA from 1 species
UACGGGAGGCAGCAGUGGGGAAUAUUGCACAAUGGGCGCAAGCCUGAUGCAGCCAUGCCGCGUGUAUGAAGAAGGCCUUCGGGUUGUAAAGUACUUUUCAGCGGGGAGGAAGGCGGUGGAGUUAAUAGCUUCACCGAUUGACGUUACCCGCAGAAGAAGCACCGGCUAACUCCGUGCCAGCAGCCGCGGUAAUACGGAGGGUGCAAGCGUUAAUCGGAAUUACUGGGCGUAAAGCGCACGCAGGCGGUCUGUCAAGUCGGAUGUGAAAUCCCCGGGCUUAACCUGGGAACUGCAUUCGAAACUGGCAGGCUAGAGUCUUGUAGAGGGGGUAGAAUUCCAGGUGUAGCGGUGAAAUGCGUAGAGAUCUGGAGGAAUACCGGUGGCGAAGGCGGCCCCUGGGACAAGGACUGACGCUCAGGGUGCGAAAGCGUGGGGAGCAAACGAGGAUUAGGAUA